rnacentral:tRNA from 1 species
GCGGGUAUAGCUCAGUGGUAGAGCGUCUGCCUUCCAAGCAGAAUAUGAGGGUUCGAUUCCCUUUACCCGCUCAA